rnacentral:rRNA from 1 species
AGGUGUGGAUAGGGGAGAAAUUCCAAUCGAACCCGGAGAUAGCUGGUUCUCCUCGAAAUAGCUUUAGGGCUAGCCUCAUGAGAGUCUUUUGGAGGUAGAGCACUGAAUUCCCGCGGGGGCGUCAAAGCUUACCAAAGGAUAUCAAACUCCGAAUGCCAGUAAGAUGAUUCAUGGGAGUCAGACUGCACGAGAUAAGUUGGGUAGUCAAAAGGGAAAGAGCCCAGACCUGCAGCUAAGGUCCCAAAAUGUGUGUUAAGUGGAAAAGGAUGUGGGAUUUCAAAGACAACCAGGAUGUUGGCUUAGAAGCAGCCAUACAUUAAAAGAGUGCGUAAUAGCUCACUGGUCGAGAGGUCCUGCGCCGAAAAUGUCCGGGGCUGAAACACACUACCGAAGCUCAGGAAUUAACCUAGUUAAUUGGUAGAGGAGCAUUCUUAAAGGGAGGAAGCAGUACCGGAAGGAGCUGUGGACUUUUAAGAAGAGAGAAUGCCGGAAUGAGUAGCGAGAGGAAGGUGAGAAUCCUUCCGGCCGAAUACCCAAGGUUUCCAGAGUAAAGCUGAUCUGCUCUGGGUAAGUCGGGGCCUAAGGUGAGGUCGAAAGACGUAGCCGAUGGACAACAGGUUGAAAUUCCUGUACUGCAGUAUAACAGAACUGUGGGGACGCAGAGGGAGAGCACUAGCGGGAAUGGAAUCCCGUGGCAAGCGAGGUAGGAGUAGAGUUGGCAAAUCCGCUCUAUAAUCCGAAGACGUGAUGCAUACCGAACUGAAGUAGGGAAAUGUGUGAGCCAGCUGCCAAGAAAAGCCGCUAUUGUUUGUACUGUACCCGUACCGUAAACCGACACAGGUAGGUGAGGAGAGAAUCCUAAGGCCGACGGGAGAAGCAUUGUUAAGGAACUCGGCAAAAUGACUCCGUAACUUCGGGAGAAGGAGUGCCAGUAAGAUGGCCGCAGAGAAUUGGCCCAAGCAACUGUUUAGCAAAAACACAGGUCUAUGCAAAACCGAAAGGUGAGGUAUAUGGGCUGACGCCUGCCCGGUGCUGGAAGGUUAAGGGGAGAGGUUAGCGCAAGCGAAGCUUUGAACUUAAGCCCCAGUAAACGGCGGCCGUAACUAUAACGGUCCUAAGGUAGCGAAAUUCCUUGUCGGGUAAGUUCCGACCC